rnacentral:tRNA from 1 species
GCCGCGUUGGCUCAAUGGUAGAGCGUCGCCCUCCUAAGCUCCGAUUCUUAAUUAGAGCCGGAUUAGGCGAAGGCUGCGGGUUCGAGUCCCGUGCGUGGUA